rnacentral:tRNA from 1 species
GGGUUCAUAGCUCAAUUGGCAGAGCAAUGCCCCUUUAAGGCAAAGGUUGCAGAUUCGAUUUCUGCUGGACCCACCA